UACGAAGGGGGCGAGCGUUGUUCGGAUUUACUGGGCGUAAAGGGCGCGCAGGCGGCUUGUUUUGUCAGGCGUGAAAGCCCCGGGCUUAACCUGGGAACUGCGUUUGAUACGGACGGGCUAGAGUUCGGGAGAGGAGAGUGGAAUUCCCAGUGUAGAGGUGAAAUUCGCAGAUAUUCGGAGGAACACCAGUGGCGAAGGCGGCCAACUGGAUCGGUAUUGACGCUCAUGUACGAAAGCGUGGGGAUCAAACAGG
rnacentral:rRNA from 1 species